rnacentral:rRNA from 1 species
UCGAACGCUGAAGCCUGGUGCUUGCACCGGGUGGAUGAGUGGCGAACGGGUGAGUAACACGUGAGUAACCUGCCCCUGACUUCGGGAUAAGCCCGGGAAACUGGGUCUAAUACCGGAUACGACUGCCGGACGCAUGUCUGGUGGUGGAAAGUUUUUUCGGUUGGGGAUGGGCUCGCGGCCUAUCAGUUUGUUGGUGAGGUAAUGGCUCACCAAGACGACGACGGGUAGCCGGCCUGAGAGGGCGACCGGCCACACUGGGACUGAGACACGGCCCAGACUCCUACGGGAGGCAGCAGUGGGGAAUAUUGCACAAUGGGGGAAACCCUGAUGCAGCGACGCAGCGUGCGGGAUGACGGCCUUCGGGUUGUAAACCGCUUUCAGCAGGGAAGAAGCGCAAGUGACGGUACCUGCAGAAGAAGUACCGGCUAACUACGUGCCAGCAGCCGCGGUAAUACGUAGGGUACGAGCGUUGUCCGGAAUUAUUGGGCGUAAAGAGCUCGUAGGUGGUUGGUCACGUCUGCUGUGGAAACGCAACGCUUAACGUUGCGCGUGCAGUGGGUACGGGCUGACUAGAGUGCAGUAGGGGAGUCUGGAAUUCCUGGUGUAGCGGUGAAAUGCGCAGAUAUCACGAGGAACACCGGUGGCGAAGGCGGGACUCUGGGCUGUAACUGACACUGAGGA